rnacentral:lncRNA from 1 species
CAUGUUUGCGUUCUAAUUUACUUUAGUAUCUGUAGGUCAUAUUUUGUGUUUAUAUCAAGUUAGAUAUGACAUGAUUUAAACUCAUUGAAAAUUUAAGAUCUAUAUUUGCAAUUUAUGUAUUUAAAUAUGUAAUUUAGUUUGUUAUUCUUAAUAGAUAAUGCAUCUGUUCCCAAAAUACAAAUAUUAAAAAUGUUAGAAAUUAUAACGAUGUUUUUAAUGAUGUUUGGUUUUUAGGUGGUUGUAUUUAUUGUUUAUUCAAAUAAAAUCUAAAUAUUAUACAAAUCUAUCAUGAAUAUCACAACAAGGCAGAUCUAUAGUUUGGGGCUAAUCCCACAAACCUAUCUGAACCCUGGAUCUAACAGGUGGAUCUACUCAGACAUGAAAACAGAAAUCAUAGAUGAAUAGAUAUAAAACUGAAAUGCAAUAGAUCAAUAAAACCAAAAGAGUUCCAGGAGGACUCUGAUAGGAGUUCCUCGUUAAAAAAAUUGUGAUACAAAUAAAGAAUAGAUGAAUUGUAAUGUAGGUUAAUUUUUUAAAAAAAUAUGAAUAAUUUUGUUUUGACCCCACUAAAAAAUAUUUUUGGCUCCGCCACUGCUUAUAACCCUAAUGCCUUGAUAUCUUCUCUCAGAAAACACACAUCUUUCUUAGGUUACCACUCUCUUUAUAUAUCAUGGCUCGUAAAAAUUUUUCAAAAUCUUCUUUCCAUAUCUUUUUCCAUUUUCCAUAACCAC